GAUGAACGCUGGCGGCGUGCCUAAUACAUGCAAGUCGAGCGAACGGACGAGAAGCUUGCUUCUCUGAUGUUAGCGGCGGACGGGUGAGUAACACGUGGAUAACCUACCUAUAAGACUGGAUAACUUCGGGAAACCGGAGCUAAUACCGGAUGAUAUUUUGAACCGCAUGGUUCAAAAGUGAAAGACGGUCUUGCUGUCACUUAUAGAUGGUUCCGCGCUGCAUUAGCUAGUUGGUAAGGUAACGGCUUACCAAGGCAACGAUGCAUAGCCGACCUGAGAGGGUGAUCGGCCACACUGGAACUGAGACACGGUCCAGACUCCUACGGGAGGCAGCAGUAGGGAAUCUUCCGCAAUGGGCGAAAGCCUGACGGAGCAACGCCGCGUGAGUGAUGAAGGUCUUCGGAUCGUAAAACUCUGUUAUUAGGGAAGAACAUAUGUGUAAGUAACUGUGCACAUCUUGACGGUACCUAAUCAGAAAGCCACGGCUAACUACGUG
rnacentral:rRNA from 1 species